GGAUUACCAACCAGGCGAAAGGUAGGACUUUCGCCUUCAUCCCAAGUGAGGGAUAUUUGCAAGCACAUAACCAAGAGAACAGGUAUUCCAGUGUAACAUGUUUGUGAUGUGGGAGGAGGCACUGGAAUCCUGAAACUCAAAGGACUCCCAGCCAACCGGGAACAGCCAAGAAAGGAGGUUCACUCCCAGUGGAAAGAGCACGAGCUUUGCUGUCGAAGGGACCUGGAUGCAGACACUGCCGCAGCCUUUGCAGCUUCAUGCUCUUGGCACAUCGUCUACCCUCUGAGCCUCCGUUCUCUUACAUGUAAAAUGGAGAUAAAUACACAUAUCUCACAGAUCAUUAGAAAGAUUGGGAGAGAUCCUUACAGACAACACGUGGGUCAUCUGGGAGCAGACCAGGUCGGCUUUGCAGGGGCCGAUGGAGACUACAGAGGAUGAUGACUCCACCGGUGGGCUCAGCCACUGUCCUCAGCCCAGCACUGGGCAUGGAGUGACUCUCAUGCCAGCCCAUCCCUUUCUUGUCAGCUGAAAUUCAGGGACUUCUAGACUCAAAUCUCAAUCAAUGACAAGGCAAAGUCAGACACUGUGCUUUCACUGUGCUAUUAGGUGUGAUUCCGUCUGUCCUGAGACUCUUAAAAUUCUAAACUUCUGCCAUCUACAAUCAAGAGCAGGAGACAAGGCAAACACAUGCGAGAAAUAAAGAAGCCAUCCUGUAGACCUGAAACACUUAACUAACUGAUCAUUAAUCAUGAGGAACAGGUUUUGUGGGCAGCACUCCCAUGCAAACACCCAACUGCCAUUAACUUGCGUGGCAGAUGUCGAGAGGCCGAGUGCAGAGGCUCAUGCCUGUAAUCCCAGCACUUUGGAAGGCUGAGCACACCAAACUUCUGGAUGGUUGAAAUUUCUGAGCAAAUCUCAGAAGAGAUAAAUGACUUCUGAAACAUUUUAAGUCUAUCAAGUUCAGGAUGUGUUUCACCAUUGCCUGCUUCCUGGUAAGGCACAUCCUUCAUUCAUGAGUGCAUUCAUUCAUUCAUGAUCUCACGAAUGUGCCCAGUGGUGCAAUGUGCCUGCAGUGAGGGGCUACUAUCCCUCCUGCCACCUUUCUCUCAAUACCCUGGUUCAGAAUUUGUUGUCAUGAACUUUCUCCAAGGCAAGCAGCACAGCAGGUGAAUUCUGCUUCCAGCUCACGUUCUCUGAUGUGAGGUGGGGGGAUAAGUAAAA
rnacentral:lncRNA from 10 species